GUCUCUGUGGUGCAAUAGGUUGAGCGUGUUUGGCUGUUAACUGAAAGGGUGGUGGUUUGAGCCCACCCAGGGAUG
rnacentral:tRNA from 1 species